rnacentral:rRNA from 1 species
AACGAACGCUGGCGGCAUGCCUAACACAUGCAAGUCGAACGAGACCUUCGGGUCUAGUGGCGCACGGGUGCGUAACGCGUGGGAACCUGCCCUUAGGUUCGGAAUAACUCCCCGAAAGGAGUGCUAAUACCGGAUAAUGUCUUCGGACCAAAGAUUUAUCGCCUUUGGAUGGGCCCGCGUUGGAUUAGCUAGUUGGUAGGGUAAAAGCCUACCAAGGCGACGAUCCAUAGCUGGUCUGAGAGGAUGAUCAGCCACACUGGGACUGAGACACGGCCCAGACUCCUACGGGAGGCAGCAGUGGGGAAUAUUGGACAAUGGGCGACAGCCUGAUCCAGCAAUGCCGCGUGAGUGAUGAAGGCCUUAGGGUUGUAAAGCUCUUUUACCCGGGAUGCUAAUGACAGUACCGGGAGAAUAAGCUCCGGCUAACUCCGUG